AUACGGAGGGGGCUAGCGUUGUUCGGAAUUACUGGGCGUAAAGGGUGCGUAGGCGGCUUGAUAAGUCGGAUGUGAAAGCCCCGGGCUUAACCUGGGAAUUGCAUUCGAUACUGUCAGGCUAGAGUAUGUCAGAGGUUGGCGGAAUUCCUGGUGUAGCGGUGAAAUGCGUAGAUAUCAGGAGGAACACCAGUGCGAAGGCGGCUAACUGGGACAAUACUGACGCUGAGGCACGAAAGCGUGGGGAGCAAACAGGAUUAGAAACCCUAGUAGUCC
rnacentral:rRNA from 1 species